rnacentral:rRNA from 1 species
UACGUAGGGUGCGAGCGUUAAUCGGAAUUACUGGGCGUAAAAGCGUGCGCAGGCGGUCUGUUAAGACCGAUGUGAAAUCCCCCGGGCUUAACCUGGGAACUGCAUUGGUACUGGCAGGCUUUGAGUGUGGCAGAGGGGAGGUAGAAUUCCACGUGUAGCAGUGAAAUGCGUAGAGAUGUGGAGGAAUACCGAUGGCGAAGGCCAGCCUCCUGGGCCAACACUG